rnacentral:rRNA from 1 species
CCUUGGCCGAGAGGCCUGGGAAAUCUUGGGAAACUCCGUCGUGCUGGGGAUAGAGCUUUGUAAUUUUUGCUCUUGAACGAGGAAUUCCUAGUAAGCGCAAGUCAUCAGCUUGCGUUGAUUACGUCCCUGCCCUUUGUACACACCGCCCGUCGCUACUACCGAUUGAAUGGCUUAGUGAGGCCUCCGGAUUUGCCAGGGCGAGGGCAACCUUGCUUGAGCGGAGAAGCUGGUCAAACUUGGUCAUUUAGAGGAAGUAAAAGUCGUAACAAGGUUUCCGUAGGUGAACCUGCGGAAGGAUCAUUAAAAAAAGAUANNAGACUGAUUGAUAGGGCCGACGAAGUUGGCCCGGCAAGAACAUAAAAACUGAUUUGGCCCUAGGUAAUCUUACNUNNNCNCUCUCUUUUUUUUU